CAUUCCUUCAAAGUCCUCACAGCCGUGGCCAUGGGCGAGCAGUAAGAAGUCAAUAGCAGCCCUAUUUUGCAGUGUGGCGUGCCUGGUGACUUCUUCGUCCGCUAGCAGGUUGGAAAGGGCAGCGGAUGUGGCGUUGGCCUGCUUACUGAGCCAACACUCGAGCUGUGGGACUAUCCAGCUCCUGACCGGUGACAGCCAGAUGAUGACGAUCAGGAGCAUCAGAUGUUUCAGAGGUGUCCUCAAGGCGGCAGUCAUCCUCAGCGUCUUGUGAUAAAAGAAAGCAUAACUUGAAUGAUAAAUUUUCCUCAGUGGUCCCUC